GUUUUUAUAAUUUAAAUAAAAUAGUGAUCUUGUAAAUCAAAAUUGAGAUACCUCUAAAAACU
rnacentral:tRNA from 1 species